GAUGAAGAACGCAGCGAAAUGCGAUAAGUAAUGCGAAUUGCAGAAUUCAGUGAAUCAUCGAAUCUUUGAACGCACAUUGCGCCCGCCAGUAUUCUGGCGGGCAUGCCUGUCUGAGCGUCGUUUCGACCCUCGCGCCCGGCUUCUGUCGGGGGCGGUGUUGGGGAUCGGCCACACCCUUCAGUGGGAGGCCGGCCCCUAAAUUCAGUGGCGACCACGCUGUAGCCUCCCCUGCGUAGUACUAAAACCACCUCGCAGGCGGAGAGCGGUGCGGCCCGCCGUAAAACCCCCCAACUUUCACAAGGUCGACCUCAGAUCAGGUAGGAAUACCCGCUGAACUUAAGCAUAUCAAUAAGCGGAGGA
rnacentral:misc_RNA from 1 species